GGCGGGAAGCUUCCCUCCAAAUUGUAGUCAUAGUGGCGCCAAGGCUUUUUGGUACUCGUGAGAAUUCAUGCAGUUCCACGCUGAUGUACCGCACUUGGUGAGGACAGGUUCUCGCCGAUCUGUACUUGACCAAUAGCAAGAAGUGGUUCUAUUCUUGCUAAAAUAAAAAUACAACCAAACGUUGUAGUUUUAAGAGUUAAGAGGCCUUUGAAAAAGGAAAAGAAAAAGAAGAAACAGAAGAGUAAAGUGCAGAUGCGGGAAGAUAAAUGCCACCAAGUUUAUUUUGGAGAUUUUGGAUGGAAAUAGGCUGUGCAAUCUAGAAGGAGCCACUUGAGCUUGAAUUGUUGUUGUAGUUUGGCUAGUUUUGGAUGUGGUAGAUGAUAAAAUAUUUUUGAAGCUAGGCUUAUUUUUGUUUAAAAGGAGUAAUGGUUAACAUUGCGAAUUUGGAAAUAGGUUGCAAUCUGGAAGGCACCGUGAAAGUGUUUAAAAUGUUUAGGUGGCUUGUUUGGGAUGUAAUAGGUGACAAGACCUUUUGGAAGCUCAAGUUUGUUUUAAACGGUGGUUAUUUUGGAAAGGCACAAUUGCUGUUCAUGUAUUUUUGAAGUAAUGACUUCAACUUUUGGUCAUGCAUAGGUGCUGAAUUAUGAUUAAAUGUCACACGUCCCUUUUUCCAUCCUAGUUUAUGCUUAUUGCUUUUUUAGUUUCAAUUUUGCAUUUUAUUAUUUUUUAUUAAUCCGUGUAAUGAA